rnacentral:lncRNA from 1 species
CAUAUGGGAUUCAGUAUUCAGCUAUCCUUCACAGGAGAGUUCACCACGUGAACUUAGUCGCUAUCAGUGGAUCCUCUCUGUUAGUCAUUGUUUUAGGCAUUUGCACGAGCUCUUUAUUUUUUUUGUCGCUGGUUAGUUGCCCCGGCCGGACGAUCUCCACGGAGCAUGGGCUCCACCGUAUACGAGCCGUAGCUUUGGGUCAACUCCGCGCAAACACACGCGUAUGAUGGCACUGAUGAGUGGGUCCCUUGCCAGCUGACCUCGCUACAGUCUUCUAGAAGCAAGCCAUGCGCAUCUAUAACAAACUUGCAACUGCUUCCGUCGUUCGCGGGAGUCACUAGAUUUUCCUGGCCUUGUAUAAAGAGAGGAGAGAAGAACGUCCACAGGGAGCCGCCUAGUCAUCACCGGCCUGCACCAUCGCCCGAGCGCUGCAAGGAACUUGGUUGCGCAGGAACUCGCGUUGUGGUCUUGCUACACCAGAGAGGCACCCUGAUGGCCGGAAAAUCAUUCACGGCAAGGAGUGCAUAGUCGGAUUGUUGUGCCGUGGCCGAGUUCCUCUACGUAUUGGCGCCGGUAAAUUUUCUAUCCAUAGAUUCGUCGUUCCUAUUUCCUGUAUACUCCCUAGACAUGCCAGUAGGAACCACCAGGAUGAUAGAUCACCUACCACGGCAAUAGCGCAACCAUCAUGGUUUUCCCCUCGCAACCACUGGUAUGGCGCCAUGCCCUAAUUUGUUAUUCCCUCGGCAAUACGAUUCUAGUAGUGGCGGUACAAUUCGAGCGCUGGGUUGGGGAGUCAUGUUCUCACCGGUGUUUGUGGGUCUGCUGGGUGUGUCUAUGGCACCGGCGGCUGGAGGAGGUAGACGGUACCUGGUGCCGUUGAACUGCGGGGUGACGGCUACAGAGGCGUGGCCGCGAGAUCCGAAAUGAUCGGCUCCUCAUCAGAUCCUUGGGUUUACCAGUUCGUGGGUUUAAUCUGAGCCGUCAAUUCGAGGAUGUGCGACUGCGAUUAUAACGGCGGCAGUAAUUCGGUCGAGUGUGGCGGGGAUCGUUCGAUUCAGACCGUGCGGUCGAGGAUCAGUUUAGGGCAUUUAAAUCUUGAGCGUUCAUUUCAGAUCGUUCGGCCCUCGGCUGAUACUGGUUCGGUGAGCUGAGAUCUAAUCUCAACCGUAGGAUCUAGAUCCUGUGGAUGAUGUUGCGUACUGAUUCAUCAUCCCACUCAUCUAAUCUUGCGCGUUCAAACUGAAUCGGGCGGUGCAGAUCAUCCCGUACCCCUUCGGUUUAACCAUUUUGCAAAAGAAACCCCAGGAUUCCAAAAAAUCAACCCGCCGUCCGCGUUCACUGUGUUCUGAGUCUCGGGAAAACUUACGCGUUAGCCCCUGGACUUUCUGGAAAAUAAGGCCCAGUCCAGAGACGUUUAAAAACAGAGAAAUAAUAUUAGAAAUUCAUUUUUCAUACAAAAACAAAUCUAGAAACUUGUAAAAUUCAUAGAAACCCCAUUUUUGAUCCAAAUCGAACCAUUCCAAUUUCUAAAAUUUUGUAAUAAUAUUCUCUAUCAUUUAGUAUCUCUGUUUUGGCAUAAAAAACAGUAAGAACAUUAAUUUAACAUUUAAUCCUAUUUUAAUCACAUUAAACCUUAGGAAAUUCAUAACUUGAAUUCUAUAACUCCAAAUUUAGUGAUUCCAGUUCCUAUGAUUUCAUUUUAAUGUGUAGAUUUUUACUGUAUAUUUUAUUUACAUGUUUGGUGUGAUGUUGAUUUUGGCUAUACUAUGUAUGUAUUGUGUUGAUGCGAAUAGACGAGCAAGCCACUGUGGAAACUGAGGUUCAACGAGUAGAAGUAGCUGAGCAGGAGCUCAUUGAAGG